rnacentral:lncRNA from 1 species
GUUUGAUUUCUAGAAAGCUUUUCAUAUCCAAAAUCAUUAUGCAGGUUGUUAAUUAAACCCAUUGAACAUAAUGAUCCAACGCCAUCUCCCAAUUUUGAAUUCCCUGUAUUCGAGGCAGAGGAAGAUGAUGUUGAAGAGAUUCCUGAUGAGAUUACCCGUCCUCUUGAGCAUAAAAAGAAGAUCAUUCAGCUGCAUCUUAAGAAUCAGCAAACAGUCAAACUGGGGCAUUACAGUAAAAAAAAAGGGUGAAAAACAAAAUCAAAAAUCAAAAUCAAAAAUCAAAAGUCAAAAAUAAAAAAAAGAAAAGAAAAA